rnacentral:rRNA from 1 species
GAUGAACGCUGGCGGCGUGCCUAACACAUGCAAGUCGAACGGAGUCCAGCCUUUAAGACCUUCGGGUCAAAGAGGGGAAGACUGAGUGGCGGACGGGUGAGUAACACGUGGGCAACCUGGCUCAUAGAGGGGGAUAACAGAGAGAAAUUUCUGCUAAUACCGCAUAAGCACACACUGCCGCAUGGCAGAGGGUGAAAAGAGAAUCGCUAUGAGAUGGACCCGCGUCUGAUUAGCCAGUUGGCAGGGUAAGAGCCUACCAAAGCGACGAUCAGUAGCCGAUCUGGGAGGAUGAACGGCCACAUUGGGACUGAGACACGGCCCAAACUCCUACGGAAGGGAGCAGUGGGGGAUAUUGCACAAUGGGGGGAACCCUGAUGCAGCGACGCCGCGUGAGUGAAGAAGUAUUUCGGUAUGUAAAGCUCUAUCAGCAGGGAAGAUAGUGACAGUACCUGAAUAAGAAGCCCCGGCUAACUACGUG